rnacentral:rRNA from 1 species
AUUGAACGCUGGCGGUAUGCUUAACACAUGCAAGUCGAACGAUGAGAAAGAGCUUGCUCUUUCGAUUAGUGGCGGACGGGUGCGUAACGCGUAGGAAUCUACCUAUUAGUGGGGGACAACUUAGGGAAACUUAAGAUAAUACCGCAUACGCCCAACGGGGGAAAGAAGGGGAUCGCAAGACCUUUUGCUAAUAUAUGAGGCUGCGUAGAAUUAGCUAGUUGGGGGGGUAAAAGCUCACCAAGGCGACGAUCCUUAACUGGUUUGAGAGAAUGAUCAGUCACACUGGAACUGAGACACGGUCCAGACUCCUACGGGAGGCAGCAGUGGGGAAUAUUGGACAAUGGGCGAAAGCCUGAUCCAGCAAUACCGCGUGUGUGAAGAAGGCCUUAGGGUUGUAAAGCACUUUCAAUUGGAAGGAAAACCUCGAAGCUAAUACCUUCGAGUUUGACAUUGCCUUUAGAAGAAGCACCGGCUAACUCCGUGCCAGCAGCCGCCGUAACAC